AGCGAACGCUGGCGGCAGGCCUAACACAUGCAAGUCGAACGAAGUCUUCGGACUUAGUGGCGGACGGGUGAGUAACACGUGGGAACGUGCCUUUAGGUUCGGAAUAACUCAGGGAAACUUGUGCUAAUACCGAAUGUGCCCUUCGGGGGAAAGAUUUAUCGCCUUUAGAGCGGCCCGCGUCUGAUUAGCUAGUUGGUGGGGUAAUGGCCCACCAAGGCUACGAUCAGUAGCUGGUCUGAGAGGAUGACCAGCCACAUUGGGACUGAGACACGGCCCAAACUCCUACGGGAGGCAGCAGUGGGGAAUCUUGCGCAAUGGGCGAAAGCUUGACGCAGCCAUGCCGCGUGGAUGAUGAAGGUCUUAGGAUUGUAAAAUCCUUUCACCGGUGAAGAUAAUGACUGUAGCCGGAGAAGAAGCCCCGGCUAACUUCGUGCCAGCCGCCGCCGUAACAC
rnacentral:rRNA from 1 species